GAUGAACGCUGGCGGCGUGCCUAAUACAUGCAAGUCGAGCGAACGGACUAGAAGCUUGCUUCUCUGAUGUUAGCGGCGGACGGGUGAGUAACACGUGGAUAACCUACCUAUAAGACUGGGAUAACUUCGGGAAACCGUAGCUAAUACCGGAUAAUAUUUUGAACCGCAUGGUUCAAAAGUGAAAGACGGUCUUGCUGUCACUUAUAGAUGGAUCCGCGCUGCAUUAGCUAGUUGGUAAGGUAACGGCUUACCAAGGCAACGAUGCAUAGCCGACCUGAGAGGGUGAUCGGCCACACUGGAACUGAGACACGGUCCAGACUCCUAUGGGAGGCAGCAGUAGGGAAUCUUCCGCAAUGGGCGAAAGCCUGACGGAGCAACGCCGCGUGAGUGAUGAAGGUCUUCGGAUCGUAAAACUCUGUUAUUAGGGAAGAACAUAUGUGUAAGUAACUGUGCACAUCUUGACGGUACCUAAUCAGAAAGCCACGGCUAACUACGUG
rnacentral:rRNA from 1 species